rnacentral:misc_RNA from 1 species
CCGUUCAAAAGACGAUCAGCGGAGCGGAAUGAGACAAAAGUAUUGUCAACAAGUGUGUGUGUGUCAGUCCACUUCAAAGCUCCACAUUUCAUCCCUCCAGCCUGUGAGAAGCGAGCCACACCCAGUACAGGCAGGGGACGAUGUGAGGGAGCCGCCGGGCCACAAUACAGGGCGUGACAGGGAGAAGGGGUGCCAGGGGAGGUGUCUGAAGAGUGUGUGGGUGCCGGGGCGUCCUGCAUGGAUAUCGAUGCCUGGAAGAGUCACGUUGCCAUCCCACACCUGCUGAAUGCUCUGGUGCAGGUGGUGAAGGGGGGAGAGGCAGUGGUGGGUGGGAGGAGAGUGUCUCAGGAACAGCUUGAAGAAAUCCUGCCUCACCUCUGCCUUGCACAGCCCUCCUGUAGCCUUGUCUGUGCCGACCUCCUGCACUCCUUGCCUUGUGACAGCAGUGUGUGGGGUACACUGGAGGCAGCGUUGAUCAGCAAGAAGGUGCUCCAGCGAGACAUCACCUCUGCCCUCUACCUGCGCCACUGCCCUGCUCUGGAGCGAGAGGUGCUGCGUGUGCUGGAGCUGUACGUGGGCGUUGAGAGCCAGAGUCCCUGGUGGCACGACGAGAGACUCAACAUAUCCCACUUCAAGCCACAUGGCAGACCGCUUCGUGCUGAUCCUCCAGCAAAGCAGCACAGUGAGGCCGGCACUGCAGACGGGUGCAAGGUAAACGUGUGGGCUGACUCUCCGCUGGUGGAGGCCUCAGGACACACCACCCAACUCUUCACUCACUGCCUUGAACUCCUGGGAAAUGUUUUGUGGAAGACCCAUUUCUCGUUUUGUGCGAUCAUUGCUUGCAGGGACUUCCUAGCACAGGUAGCAGAGGAGGUGGAGGGAGAGCUGUACCAGAGUUUUCCAAGCAUGCUGUCCCACCUUGCCUACCUCCUCACCCUCCCUCUGGCCACCCACCAGGACCAGGACGACCUCCGAAGAUCCUCUCUGCUCCCGCUGGUGAGGAAGGGGCUGCUGGAGGAGCUGGCCGAGGGUGGGGAGACUGCCCGGGGGAAAGUGUGUGUCAUGCUCUGCUUCUUCCCCUUCUGGCUGCCGCCGCUCAGAAAGUGUGGCUUUUUGAAGAAGUACUUGGCCGAUACUAUAUGUGAUAUUUUUUAGUCGUUACUGAUGUGUCUUUUUAUAGAUAUUUGUUAUAGUUAUUGAUGUGCAAUAGUUCCCAAAAUGAUCUUUAAAAGUACAUAAGAGGUCUACAUUCUGACACAUUUGGUGGUUACGGUGGCAACAGUUGGUAGCCCUGCACACCAAGUAGGGGUACUUGCUGUGUAUUAUGACUUUGGGAUACAUAUUAGCAUGUCAGCAUCUGGUCGUCAUGUAUACCAACCUUAUUGACACUGCAUGUGAUGUGGCAGCAGUUGAUGUGUUGUUCAUUAUGCCACUGUUCACACCACACAUGGAAGGCUGUUUUGGGGACUAGUGUGCAUUCCUUGUGUUUUAUAUAUAUUGUGCAGCUGACUUGUUUGCACUGUAGUAAUAAGAAGUGUUCCGGACUCAUUCUCAAGAUCAGGGGUUCUCUACCUGUGGUUUGCAAACACUGAGGGGUUCACAAGAUUUCUGGGGAUGAUUAGAUGGCUGCUUUAAUAUUAUCCUGUGCAGUACCUUUGCAUAUUGAGUCAGUGUCAGUCACCACAUUAACAUUCUGUUCAACGUCUCUUUGCUGGGGCUUUGGGUAGAUUGUUUUAUAACUGGGUCUUUUAACGAGAAAAAAGAUUGAGAACCCCUGCUCUAGAGGCUUUGAGAAUUUUAGUUUAGCCUUUCUUUUGAUUUUGUCUUAUUGUUGUUCACUUACUAGGAUGUGGCUGCUGUUCUUAGUGGACAGCUGGGGUGAGGCAGGUGAUGCAGAUUAAAUUCCUCUCCAGGCAGAAACAUUGUAGACUUUGAUGGCAAGCUUUUGUUCACCUGCUAUUCAUUUCAGACCCCAUGAGGCAGCACUAUUUCCAAACAUUUCCUAGACAGACUUUGAUCAAUAUGACAUUUUGGGCACUAAACUGUAGCUAUAACACUGGCCACUGAAGGCAAAGGUAGCACAGAAGCCCUAGACAUUCACACUGAAGGCUUUACUGGUGUUUGACGUGUAGCAUUCCAACUUCUCUUCCUUCAUACUUGCCUUCCUAUCUCCCAGCUCCUCUCCCUCCACCUUUUACUCUUUUAUGUAAGAGGGGAAGUCUGGCCAAGGCCAAAAAAUGUGACUAAACAAAAAGAUCCCGCUUAAUGUCAGUCCUGUCCUUCUGCUUCCAAUCACCUUAUCUCUCCCUCCAUCCUUGCCUUGCCUUGUCUCCCACCACCUCUCCCUUCAUCCCUGCUUUCUUACCUUCCACCCCCUUUCCCUCCAUCCUUGCCUUCCUUUUGCUUCCUGUCACCUUAUCUCUCCUACAUCCUUGCUCUCUACCCUUACACAUCACAAUUAUGUCUUCUAUCUUCUACAGUCAGCAACAAUUGAUGUAAGUGCGGGAAAACAACAAAAGCAACUUCCCUUGCAUUGUAAGGAACUCCUCCAACUACUACAAAAUGUCCAUGGCUGUCACUCAAAUCUUGAAGGACAUUUAACAUCAAUGGAGAUAGUGGCAGUGUCACUCUUCCCUCCAAACCCGUUUGUGCAAUCUUGUGCAGUUCACUGACAUCAUCAGAUAAAAAUAUUUGAGAUGUCAAAGAUGUACACGAAGUGAAAUGUCAUAAGUGUGAUUCAGUGCUACAAAUUAGGCCUAAAUAGCCAUGAAACAAAUGUGAAAACUGGUGUGAGUGUGCGCAUAGUGCGGCGCCUUGUUGCAAAAAUUCAAGGCAAAUAAUGAGUGUGAGCUUCUGUGCCACAAUUAUAGUGGAGGAAGGUGUCCAAAGAUUUCUGAAAAAAACUUUUGAUAGUUAUAAGACACGAGUUAGAGAAAAAAAAAGAGAUAGUACAGCAAGAUAUUAAAGAAAAGAAUGAUAGUGCUCUUCAAGGAGUGCACCAUUCAUAGAGCCACCCAAGAAAAAUUGAAAUACAAGAUUGAAAAAGCACAAAGCAAACCUUUGGUGACAGACACACAGUGAAGGAAGAGGCUUGAAUUUGCAUGGAAGUACACAUCAUGGACUGUUGAUGACUGGAUUAAGGUUUUGUGUACUAAUGAAUCUGUGUUUCAUAUGAGUGACAAAAAAAGCUUGAGGGUGUGGUGCUGCCCAUGGUGUGACCCCUCUCACCCCAAGUAUAUUGCAGACUCACAAGCAUCCUCCUUCUGUUAUGGUGUGUGGUGCAUUUUCUUAGUGUCUGACCAGCAUGUUUUUCCAAGAGUGAAUCAGUCAUGAAGGAUGUAUAUCUAUGCCUUCUAAAAGAUAAGUUGGCUAAUUGCUAUGCCGUCACGGGUGCGGAGGUGUUCCAACAGGAUGGGGCUCCUUGCCAUCACUGCACACGUUGUGAAGGAAUGGCUCCCAGAGAAUGAGGUUCACGGGAUACAUGACUGGCCACUAAACAGCCCUGAUAUAUCACCUAUUGAGAACCUCUGGGCGAUACUGAAAUGCAAAUUGAGAGAAGAAAACUCAUUCAUCGAGGAGAAAUUAAAAGGCAAUUCAUUGGGCAUGAACAGUGAUACCUGUGGCAACUCUGCAGCCUCUCUUCCAGAUUGUCUCUUGGAAGUAAGAAAAUGCAAAGGACACUCCAUAAACAAGUAAAAGGUUAGGUAAUGAGGCUCACACUUACACUUACAAUUCACUACAUGUAAUUACUUGGCAGAUAUUUUCAGAACACAAGUUUCGUUUGUUGUUUUUCCGCGUGGUCACGUCAUUUGUUGCCAACUGUAUGCGAGUAUUUUCCCUUGCUCUUGGUGCUUUGCUUUCUGUACCAAUUGUAGACUCCUUAGGGAAGCACUUGGCAAUGGAUCACAGUGCAAAUUAGAGGACAGCUUUGCCAGAGUGUUGUAUUGAUGUGUUUGUGUGGAAGAUAUUUGGGAAGACAGCAAAUCAUGGAAUCUGUAAUGCAUAUAGUAAGAGAUUCCUUCAUGUAUAUGCAUUACUGUCAUUUGUCUUCACUUCAUUUUGGAACAGUAUUGAGUAUGAUUUAUUAGGUACAAAUUCCAAACCAAAUGAAAUAGAUUCUCUCAUGUAUGUUUAUUUCAUAGAAGUACAUGUUUUAAAAUGCUUUGAAAUAUUUGGGUGCAGUGAAGUAGUGAUCUUUGAGACAACAGCAUUCAUUGAUCACCAUGUAAAUAGAACCAUCAUAUUGUGAGAGAAGUGUUCAAAGUAAGGAUAGGGGAGGCAGUAUUCCCUGAGAGGCUGUGGUGAGUGACUGUGGUUUGUAAACAUACUGUGGGGGGACAUCCUGUGGCUCUGUGGAGAGAGAGAGAGAGAGAGAGAGAGAGAGAGAGAGAGAGAGAGAGAGAGAGAGAGAGAGAGAGAGAGAGAGAGAGAGAGAGAGAGAGAGAGAGAGAGAGAGAGAGAGAGAGAGAGAGA